rnacentral:rRNA from 1 species
AGUGAACGCUGGCGGUAGGCCUAACACAUGCAAGUCGAACGGCAGCACAGUAAGAGCUUGCUCUUACGGGUGGCGAGUGGCGGACGGGUGAGGAAUACAUCGGAAUCUACUUUUUCGUGGGGGAUAACGUAGGGAAACUUACGCUAAUACCGCAUACAACCUACGGGUGAAAGCAGGGGAUCUUCGGACCUUGCGCGAUUGAAUGAGCCGAUGUCGGAUUAGCUAGUUGGCGGGGUAAAGGCCCACCAAGGCGACGAUCCGUAGCUGGUCUGAGAGGAUGAUCAGCCACACUGGAACUGAGACACGGUCCAGACUCCUACGGGAGGCAGCAGUGGGGAAUAUUGGACAAUGGGCGCAAGCCUGAUCCAGCCAUACCGCGUGGGUGAAGAAGGCCUUCGGGUUGUAAAGCCCUUUUGUUGGGAAAGAAAAGCAGCGGGUUAAUACCCCGCUGUUCUGACGGUACCCAAAGAAUAAGCACCGGCUAACUUCGUG